CCUUUAUGAUGAAUUGCUUUGGUCCGUGUUGCUGAUUUGCUUCUGAUUUUAAAACAAAGCUGAUAUCUGAUUCG